GAGAGAAAGGGAGAGCCAGAGGUGAAGCACGUUCCACGGCCAGGCAUGGGGCUGCAGUGUGGACGGCUCCUGCAUUCUGCUCCAGCUUCCAUUUGGAAAUGGCCGCGAAUUACAGAAGUUGCAAAAAUAAAAACGGAAAAUACCUUUCUGCCCAGGCUCUCCGAUUACUUCCAUCUGGCCCCCACUGCCACGCUUUUUCUGAGCGAUGUAAGGGUAAGACACAUGCAUGCCAUGACCCUUGACCUCUGGAUCCCUCAGGUGUGUCUCCUGAGGACAGAGCUGCUUUCUCACAUACGCAGCGUCCUGUGUGGGCAGUUAACGUCCAUGCCCACUCUUUGUAUGUUCAGACGUGCAGUGGCCCCAGCGACAGUCCUUGUAGCGGGUUUCCGCUCCCCCCCACCCCCAGCCUAAUGGCACAGCAGAUGCCUGCUGCUCAGUUCCUGCCCUGGUCUUUUCACAGAGUGGGCAAGCCAUCCCUAGCCUGCCCUCUCAGGUUGGCUCUACCCGCACACCACCUGGACACUUGCUCACUGAAGAUAUAGUCCCCUCAAAAGCCCCGUUUCUUCUGUCAACCUCACUGAGGAGUUAGCUUUGCUCUAGGAAACAUCUGGGAGAAAAUGUUUUAGUAUGAUGUGAUUUUUUUUUCCUCCUAGCAUGAAUGAAACAAAUUCUCUUGGUUAAGGUUUCAGUACUUUAUCAUCAUCCCAUCUAAACCCGUCGUAUAUCCACCAGUUCUGAGCACGCCACAUGUGAGGACAGAGCGUCUCAUACUAUGCCAAGAGAGUCACCCGAAAGAUUCCUUAAACAUGGAUUUGCUAUUUCCUCCCUGGCAGCUUCAGAUUUAUUACUUCCGGGGGCCUCUAAACAGAUCUGCCUGACACCGAGACCUCAUUAAAGUGUCUCCAAAGCUAAGCAAAGGCCAUCCCGACUGCAACACCCUCUCUCAUUAAUGUCCCUCCAGGCUGCUGCGGGAUAUCAGGUGUUUGAUGAUGGGCAGGGAGGGGGGCACAAUAAUAAAAUGCCACAGUGGGAGAAUGGAUUAUUGUUUACAGGCAUUUUAAUAUAAAAACGACCACUACUGAGUUGGCUUUUACAGACUUUCUGAGACACUGUCUCAGAAAGAGACACGACAUGACAUAUAAAUAAGAUGACUCAAGCAAAGCUUGGCUGCUGUCUUCUUUUCCUGUAUUGUCCCAGACUCAAGGGUCUUGGUUAUAGCAGAGGGCAAGGUUUUCAGAACAAACAUCAGAGGAUUAUGGAAAAUCUGGCGGCUCUAACUCUCUGUGUCCACACCCACCCCUGACCAGUUUCCAUGGCCUGCUGGGUUCUUUCAAAGUCCAUGCCCUCUUAGUUUGCCGCCUGUCCACUUGGCCUUGAAUGAUACUCAUCUCCUCAUUCUGUAGAGCUGAGGGUUAGUAACCAUUCAUUUCCCUUCCUGGCACACCCAAAGGCCUUUGCUUGACUGUCUGGGCUUCCCUGUUUUGGGUCCAAGCAUGAUUUUGCAUGGUUCUUAUCUCCAGGUUGCACUUCAGACCAUUCUGUCCACCUGCAGUAUACAGCCUGGUAUUUAGUAACUAGAGGCUCUCGGUUGGUGUUGGAUCCUGGGGUGGUGGGAGUCUGGGAGCUGCACUCAGGAGGCCCCACCUCCUGAAACUCCUUCCUAGCAUAUGUCAGAGAGGCAUGAGCAGACAGGUAGACUAGAUCAGGGUGACACCCAGAGCAGCCGUGGCUUCAUUUAUCCUGGCAAAGUCAGAGGCCUCACACCUCUUACAACUGCCCUGGAGAUGAACAAAAGGACCAGGAUGUCACAACAGAAAAGGGUACUACAAAUCUGGGGAGAGGGCUCAGCGGGUAGAUGCUUGCUGUGCAAGCCGAGGACCCAGGUUUGGAUCCCCAGAACCCACAGAAAAGCCAGUCAUGGCACUGCAAACUUCAGGCUUCAACAUUCCACAUCAACCUGUGGUCCACACGCACACCAUGUUGGUGAGUGCGCACACACACAGAAAAAAGACAGCAUAUGGGAAGAUACACUCAGGCCCCAGAACUGCGUGGUGCUCUCAGGCUGCCUCUUCCUAACUCUACGAAUUCCUCAUGUAGUCCCCUGCCUGGCUCUGCUGCUAGAGAUGGAGAAUGCUCCACCAAUGGCAGCGGCUGCUCAUCCUAGAAAGAAUUCCUGGUCCUACCACCUCCCUCCCACAGGUACGGUCUAGCAAACUUUCCUUGGGGAAGCAGGACCAAGAAGGCGGCCCACCAGGAAGGCUACACACUGGGUCGGUGACCAGACACCUUUCAGACGGUGGAUCAACCUGUGAUGGUUCCUUCUGUGGAUGGCCCCUCCUUUUCAGCUCUGGGAAGGAAAGAUAUGCCAAGAGAGGAGAAGGCGGGAGAGAACGAGAAGGCAGAGGGAGGGGGAGAGGAAGAGGGGAUGUAUCCAUCUCUUUAUCUAGCAUCAGAAGAAUACAGAAAGGAAGAAACUGUAAAAGAUAAAGGCAGCUUGUGGAGAUAUGACCAGGCCUGGGUCAGAGAGAGACGCACAUGAGUACAGGGGAGAGAAAGAUGGGGUGACAGGCUGUGUAGGGGGAGACACUGCCUGACUCAGGGCCUCAGACCUAGGCUGGUGGAGGCAGAGUCCUCAGGGCUCCAUGCCAAAACACGAGG